rnacentral:rRNA from 1 species
UAGGGAAUAUUGGACAAUGGGCGCAAGCCUGAUCCAGCCAUGCCGCGUGUGUGAAGAAGGCCUUCGGGUUGUAAAGCACUUUUAUCCGGAAAGAAAAGCAUCUGGUUAAUACCUGGGUGUCCUGACGGUACCGGAAGAAUAAGCACCGGCUAACUUCGUGCCAGCAGCCGCGGUAAUACGAAGGGUGCAAGCGUUACUCGGAAUUACUGGGCGUAAAGCGUGCGUAGGUGGUUUGUUAAGUCUGAUGUGAAAGCCCUGGGCUCAACCUGGGAAUGGCAUUGGAUACUGGCAGGCUAGAGUGCGGUAGAGGGUAGUGGAAUUCCCGGUGUAGCAGUGAAAUGCGUAGAGAUCGGGAGGAACAUCUGUGGCGAAGGCGACUACCUGGACCAGCACUGACACUGAGGCACGAAAGCGUGGGGAGCAAACAGGAUUAGAUACCCUGGUAGUCCACGCCCUAAACGAUGCGAACUGGAUGUUGGGCUCAACUUGGAGCUCAGUAUCGAAGCUAACGCGUUAAGUUCGCCGCCUGGGGAGUACGGUCGCAAGACUGC